GACGAACGCUGGCGGCGUGCUUAACACAUGCAAGUCGAACGGAAAGGCCCUGCUUUUGUGGGGUGCUCGAGUGGCGAACGGGUGAGUAACACGUGAGUAACCUGCCCUUGACUUUGGGAUAACUUCAGGAAACUGGGGCUAAUACCGGAUAGGAGCUCCUGCUGCAUGGUGGGGGUUGGAAAGUUUCGGCGGUUGGGGAUGGACUCGCGGCUUAUCAGCUUGUUGGUGGGGUAGUGGCUUACCAAGGCUUUGACGGGUAGCCGGCCUGAGAGGGUGACCGGCCACAUUGGGACUGAGAUACAGCCCAGACUCCUACGAGAGGCAGCAGUGGGGAAUAUUGCACAAUGGGCGGAAGCCUGAUGCAGCAACGCCGCGUGCGGGAUGACGGCCUUCGGGUUGUAAACCGCUUUCGCCUGUGACGAAGCGUGAGUGACGGUAAUGGGUAAAGAAGCACCGGCUAACUACGUG
rnacentral:rRNA from 1 species